ensembl:lncRNA
GUCCAAGCAGCACAGGAGAGAGCAAGAAGAAUGAUAUACAGAAGGAGCAAAGCACGGAAAGGAUGAAUAUAUCAGCUGUCUGACACCCAGGAGACUGCAACUCAGUGACACGAGGGAUUUCACUGAACUGUGUAACAUGUCCCAGACACCUGACCCCUGGAGAACCAGAGCAUCAGACAGCUGUUCCCUUCUCCUCCCCCACUGCUUGGUGGUCACUCGGUGUCUUCCGCAGCGUAUGAGACAUUCCUGAGGCAGAGAAGCAGACACACACCGUGGGAAACCUGCCGCUAGUAACGCCGGCAGAGCUGUAGACCGCAGCCCCUGGAAGCUCAGGCUCUCAAGGGAGCAAGUAUUGAUCCCUUAGGCUUCAGCUUUAAACUCCCCAGUUAGAAGGAAGCACACAGAGACCUUGGUGGGCAAUCAGCCUGUACCAGUUGCAGAACAAGAAUCUGGAUGAAACUCUCAUAAGUAAAGGAUCACAACAGAUUGGAACUUUUAUAAAGAAAUAAAUCCUUUACCAACCAUAAAUACUGUGAUAAACACUUCCAUAAGGAACUCUACAAUUUCACUGAGACCAUCAUAGCAGGGAAGAUCUGUUAAGGAAAGG